AGAGACGGAUGGACGGAUGGAGGUCACUGUGCAGCCAGCCCUGGCCCCCCACGGCCCGCCCGCCGCCCUGUGCUGACAGGCCCUGCUGACGACAGCCGAAGCAGGGGAGGGACAGGCCGCCACCAGCAUGGUAAUAAUCCUUGGCCCAGGCGCCCCGCAGGCAGUAGGAGCCCGUGAUGGUUCUGGAACCUGGGUAGCCUUUGGCGGGACUUAAGUCUGGAUGGAAGCCUUCAUCAAUCUGGGGUGGCCCUCUCUUGUCCUGCAGUGGCGUGUGGAGCUUCCAAGACCCCCAGGCACUUGUUGAAAGAUGAGAAAAACCAAGACGGAAGAGGGCAUGCCCCAAGGUCACGCAGCUGACCCGGAAUUCCUAUCUCCGUCUGUAUGAUGGCCAAGUCCGUUGCUCCAAAGCCUGAGCCUGACCCACCGCCUCAAGUAAAGGGCCUCCCCGACUCCUCCUGGAGAAGGGAGCGCAUUGGCUCUGGGAUGAGCAGCUAUCCCUUUAACGUGGUGGCUGGCCCACCUGUUACCUAUUAUCCUGCUUCCUAACACCGACAGCCAUGCCCGGCCCUUGCUAUAGGGUGGAACUCUCGCCCCCGCAGAAGUCCGUCCUGGCACCUGGCCAUAGUUUGUCCUGUUGCAAGACUGCUCUUCUUGGCAGUCGGAGCUGGUGACUUUGUAACAGGCCAUUAAAGACCCUGAUAAUGAAACAAACUCCAGGGGCAACUUGGAGCGUGGCUACGGGCGAAGGAUGUGUGGAGAGAUCAGGCAGGCCUGUGGAGACGGCUAAGGCCCCAGAGAAAGCCUGAGGGAGCCACGCCUGGAUCAAGUGGGACCCUGAGGCCCAGCGGAACCCCCAUGGCUCCUCAUCGCUCAUUCCAGCAACGAAGCACCUGCUCUGCGUUGGGGUCUGGGGCUGUUGACCUGAACAGGAACCAGGCUGGCUUUCCCAGCGAGGAGGAGGGAUUGCCAGGUGGCGAUGGGAGAGCCCAGGGCCUGUGACCGUCCAGGGGGAGGCCGGACCCAGCCUGGGAGGAAAAAUGACCGCAUCUGCCCUGAGGACCGCUGUGCACAUUCUCUGAGUUGAUUCAUCAAAAGCCUUUAGCAGAGCGUGGGACUUGGAGGCCACCAUGCACAGAAGCGCAUUUGUGGAAGAGGAGGUUGGUGACUUGGUGGGGCCUCCCUUCUCUGUCAUCAAGGAUGCCCUCCAGGAGUUCCUGUAGUGGCUCAGUGGAAAUGAAUCUGACGAGUAUCCAUGAGGAAGCUGCUUCCGUCUCUGGCCUGGCCUUGCUCAGUGGGUUAAGGAUGUGGCGUUGCCAUGAGCUGUGGUGUAGGUUGCGACGUGACUCAGAUCCUGCGUUGCUGUGGCUCUAGUGUAGGCCGGUAGCUACAGCUCCCAUUCCACCCCAGCCUAGGAACCUCCAUAUGCCGCCGCCCUACAAAGACAAAAAGACAAAAAGAC
rnacentral:lncRNA from 1 species